rfam:Gasterosteus aculeatus cont1.000670, whole genome shotgun sequence.
GCCGGGAUCGUAUAGUGGUCAGUACUCUGCGUUGUGGUCGCAGCACCCACGGUUCGAAUCCGGGUCACGGCA